AUGGCUGAUGCCGGUCGCACCGUGCUCCGUUACAACUUAUUCCCAACAAUGACUGCUAUCACGGUCAUUACUCCCCGUGGCCAAGCCUUGUUAACUAGGGUCAGCGAGCUUAUUGAUCUAAAUUCCGGUACCUGGGAUGAAACACUUACAAGGAUGAUCUUCAGUCCAGUUGAUGCUCGUAGAAUCUUGCAAAUUCCAUUAAAUCACAAUGCUUUCGAGGAUUUUAUUGCUUGGCAUCCAGAUAGGAGAGGAUUAUUCUCAGUUCGAUCGGCUUAUCAUGUGCAAUCGAUGCAUACUUUCAGGUCCCAUGCAAAUAACUUCUCCCGUCCAAGAGGUUCUGCGAUUCCGGCGGUCUGGUCAGCACUAUGGAAGCUCACUAUUCCACGCAAAACAUCGAUCUUUUGUUGGCGGCUAUUUCAUGGAAUCCUACCCCUAAAAGGCAUACUCGCCAACCGGCACAUGGGUGCAGUUGGGGCCUGUCCAAUUUGCCAUCAGAACUCUGAAGAUAUUCGUCACCUUUUCUUUCAAUGUAUACAUGCUCAAGGUCUCUGGAGGCGAUUAGGCUUUAGUGAAUUCAUUUUUUCGGCGAGCGACGUCGACCGCUCAGGUUUGGUGAUCAUGGAACAUAUCUUGUUGCUUCCCGACUCGACGCUUCUCAUUAUCCCAAGCCUGGACAUCAAGCAUAUAGUAGUUGUUGUCUGCUGGUUCCUUUGGUGGACUCGCCGUCAAAUAACUCACAAUGAGCCAUUCCCACCGAUUGAUAGGUGGCGUUUGUCAGUUCUGGCCAUUAACAAUAAUUAUCAUAAUGCUUUCAUGAAAAAUUCAGCUAUUGUAGAUCACAGAUUGGUCAGGACGGAGUCAGAGUUCACUAAAUUGAAUGUUGAUGCAGCAUAUUUCAUAGAUGUAGGUGGGGGUGCAACAGCAGCGAUCUUAAGAGAUGAGAAAGGUACUUUCCUAGCGACCCGGUGUAAUUAUAUUUCUUAUGCGGCGGAUGUCGUUACCACCGAGACUAUGGCUAUGAAAGACGGAUUAAGUUUGGCAAGCAAUUUGCGGUUGCAGAGGGUGGUGGCCGAAUCUGAUUCCCAAGAAGUAAUAAACUUGUACUGGGCAAACAAGAUGGUGAAUGCAGCGGCGGCUAUCUUUGCAGAGUGUGUUGAUAUUGGUUUAACCAUGGGGGAGGUCAAAUUUAAGCAUUGUUAUCGUUCGGCUAAUCAAGCGGCGCAUGUGCUAGCUAAUUACAGUUUGUGUAAUCAAUUUUCUAGUGUUUGGACUAAUGAGCCACCAGAUUGCCUGGUUAGUAAGCUCAUGGACAAUGUAUCUUUGAUGUGU
rnacentral:rRNA from 1 species